rnacentral:rRNA from 1 species
UACGAAGGGGGCUAGCGUUGCUCGGAAUCACUGGGCGUAAAGCGCACGUAGGCGGCUUGUUAAGUCAGGGGUGAAAUCCUGGAGCUCAACUCCAGAACUGCCUUUGAUACUGGCGAGCUUGAGUCCGGGAGAGGUGAGUGGAACUGCGAGUGUAGAGGUGAAAUUCGUAGAUAUUCGCUAGAACACCAGUGGCGAAGGCGGCUCACUGGCCCGGUACUGACGCUGAGGUGCGAAAGCGUGGGGAGCAAACAGG